UUUUGAUGCUAAGACUUUGUUAAUAAUAGUUUUGAGGCAUGGGCGAAACUUGGGACACGCGAACGUCGGUCUAAUCGAGUUUUCGGUUUGUGUAUAAUUAGGUUUGCGUGUUUAUUUUUGCAGCGAAAAGUUGGACAUAGAAAAGACGACCACCGGUCCUGGGGGAAUCCCGGCGGAUGCCAUCUACACGACCACCCCGAGGGGCGGCAGAAGUCCCGAAGCAAUGAAGACUCCAGUUCUGAGCACAUUCUCAAACCACCUCACUUGAUUCUAAGCGUCGCAGCACUGGUGCUUCCGGCGGGGAGAACUCGAUCGGCGCCGCACACAUUCUUUAGUUACCUAUUAUUAAUAUUAUUAUGAAUACCUUCGAAGAUCUUUCGAUUAAAACAAUAGUAUAAUAAAUAUGAAUAAUAGUAACUGAAAAGAGAGAAUAAAAAAAAAAGAUGUUAAUUAUUCGAUUAUUAAGAGACUGUAAAGCGCGUCGCGUCCUUCGCCAAACACCUCCGGCGCCAAUCUCCAUGGCAAUCGAAAUAAUAAACAUAUGAUGGUUUAUUUUGGUUGCUAUAGAGAGUUGUUAUAUAAGUAGGUGAUGGUGAUGUGUCGCGCGACGAGCUUAAUUUGUUUAAUUGAUUGUAUAAAUUUUUGUAAAGUUUGUUUUUUUUUCUUCUUUCUUUUUGUUUCGAUCGACCUUAGAGCUUAGUUUCUUCAACUGUUCAUCCAUUUGAUUAUUAUUAUUAUUAUUACUAUUAUCAUUUGAUUUGUACAAUGAUUAUCAAAAUAUAAACGAUAAUCGUUAUAAACAAACUAACACACCUCUCUAACAUGAGCUGUAAAUAUAGCCGACAACACUGACAUUCAAUGGUAGAAGUAGUGUAGAGGAGUGGAAAGGAGUUGAGAACGUCUACACAGGGUUGGCCGAUGAUGAAAGGGCGUCCAACAAACAGCCCAAGUAUUUCGAGUCGCCGUCCCCGACGUCUGUGGUCCAAGGGGCCGGGGCCGGGGCCUUCCCCUCAUCCUUCGCGACGACGGAUCCCCAAUACCAAAGAAAGUACCGUAGCUUUAACAAGUACGGCCCAAAGAAAUCCAAAGACCCGAGACGGUCCCUGCCGAAACCCCGACCCAAACCGCUCCAGCUCGAACACGAGAAAUACUACGACCACAUUUUCCCGAAACACUCCUACAACGACGUCUAUUAUCAGCCCAAUAGCUUGGACCAUGCCGAAUUGUAAAUAUUAAUACAUUCAACAACAACAACAGCAGCUACAACCAAAUAAAUAAACCGAAACUCAUCUUCGACAAACUGUAAAUAAGAAUUAUUACUCUCUAUAUAUAUAUAACUGUGUGUGUAUGUAUGUACGUAUGUAUGUCCCUAAUUUGCUCUAAUCACUAAGAAACUAACUCUAUAUCAGCGUCUUGCCAUCUGAUGCCUAGCCUAGCAACCCUAAUACAUUUACUAAAUUUCAAGUAAUCAAAGUAAUUCUCCAUGACAACUUGCUAUGGAGAUAACUCAAAGGCAUCGCGAAGAUGGCAACUCUGCUCUCUGUCUAUAUAUAUGUUUAUAUUUACAUUUAAUUUACCUUUCCCCAAAUAAAUUUAUCCCUUCAUUUAUUUUCUACUCCUCUCGAUUAGGGAUUUUUAUUUUCCGUUUCGUUUAUUUCUUUUUUAACGCUGUAUCACGUCUCUAAAGUAGCUAAAUUAUUACCAUAACAUAAUAUAUACAUAUAAAUUAUAAAUAAAUUAACAAA